GUUUAAAUAGCUUAAGAUUAAAGCUUUUCAUUGAAGAUGAAAAAAUGAUAUUUUUAUCUUUAAACA
rnacentral:tRNA from 1 species